rnacentral:misc_RNA from 1 species
UUUCCGUAGGUGAACCAGCGGAAGGAUCAUUAUUGUAUAACCGAGGUGCGAGGGCUGUCGCUAACCCGCCCGGUCGUACACGCUCCAGUGCCCUCACACACCCCCAUCCCACCCCUAUGUGCCCCACCGCGCCGGUCCCCCUUCGGCUUGUUCGGAGGUGGCCUUACGUUUUCCCACACUCUUUGUAUGCAGUGUAGUCUAUAUUUUUUGUUUUUGCUCUCACGCCAUCAAUAAAACUUUCAACAACGGACCUCUUGCGUCUCGCCUCGAUUCAGAAAG